rnacentral:rRNA from 1 species
UACGGGAGGCAGCAGUGGGGAAUAUUGGACAAUGGGCGAAAGCCUGAUCCAGCAAUGCCGCGUGAGUGAUGAAGGCCUUAGGGUUGUAAAGCUCUUUUACCCGGGAUGAUAAUGACAGUACCGGGAGAAUAAGCUCCGGCUAACUCCGUGCCAGCAGCCGCGGUAAUACGGAGGGAGCUAGCGUUAUUCGGAAUUACUGGGCGUAAAGCGCACGUAGGCGGCUUUGUAAGUUAGAGGUGAAAGCCUGGAGCUCAACUCCAGAAUUGCCUUUAAGACUGCAUCGCUUGAAUCCAGGAGAGGUGAGUGGAAUUCCGAGUGUAGAGGUGAAAUUCGUAGAUAUUCGGAAGAACACCAGUGGCGAAGGCGGCUCACUGGACUGGNAUUGACG